rnacentral:lncRNA from 1 species
UUUAUUUAUUCAUGACAGACACGGAGAGAGAGAGAGAGGCAGAGACACGGGCAGAGGGAGAAGCAGGCUCCAUGCAGGGAGCCAGACGUGGGACUCGAUCCCAGGUCUCCAAGAUCACACCCGGGACUGAAGGCGGCGCUACACCACUGGGCCACUGGGGCUGCCCUAUGUACAGUUUCAGUGGAACUUUGCAACACUACCUUGGACAUAAAUGACCAAUGAGAUGAACAGGAGCAAAGCCCUACAGACCAGCAGCUAACAAUAAAAGCCAAUGUUCAAAGAGCUGCAUUUCAACCUCCAGAAUUACUUCUGCCUAUAGCCCGAAUUCAAACACUGAAAUUGCACCCAGCCAGGCUCACCUCCAAACUGAUGCAAAAGUCCUCAAAGCCACAGAAAUAAGGUAGAACCAGCAUGGCCCCCAGGAUGGCAAGAACCUCCCCAAACCCCACCCACCAAACUCAAUUCCAUUAGGAACUUAGCACAGUAAAGCUGAAAGUCUGAGGUAGGUUAAAACUAACCCACUCUGUAGGGGAGCAGGCAAUCAAGGUACUACUACUUGCUGAGCAUUCGAUCUUAUGUUUGGCACUUCUUGGCUACAUCCCAGAGGGUGGCAUAUAGUCGUCGAGCUCUAAUCACUUCCUGUUCCAAAAGUGUAAGAAUACACAAGGCUUUAAAAGCAACCAACCACCUUUUGUGUAAAAUUAUUCACUGACUGAUCUAAAAGGUAAGCUAAGGAAUAUGCAGAUAAAAUACUGCUUAGUUAUGUAAAAUACAUUUACAAAGAGUUUUAAUAGUAUAAGCAAAUGCUUAUAAUAGAGUUUUUAAAAAAGAAAUUAUUACACAUAAUCAUGAACACAACCAAGAUAAACCACAUAUAUAAAGACAUAGGAUUAAGGGAGAAAGAAGUGAAUGAAUAUGCAAAAAGAUGAACAAGUUUCUGGGGUGCCUGAGUGGCUUAGUCAGAUAAGUGUCUGCCUUCAGCCCAUGGUCCAAGGGUCCUGGGAUGGAGCCCUGCUUAGCAGGGAGUCUCCUUCUCCAUCUGACCCGUCCCCAUCUCGUGCAUAAAUAAUUAUAAUAAUAAUUAUUUAUCUCCCACAUAAAUAAAUAAAAUCUUUUUAAAAAAUUAAAAUUAAUAAAUUCCUGUCUGGGAAAUAAGAUGAUAGUGAUCACAACCUAUCACAAAUCCUCCUUAUAUUUAUUACUUUUAACUCCACACCCCCACCCCCACCCCUACAAUGAGCAUCCAUUACUCUUUUUAAACUAAGUAAAAAUUAUUAAUUCUCUUCAAAUAAAACCAUAUGGUCAGUUUUUAGGUCUCAAUAAAAAAAAUUAGUGAUCUUAUUUAUUCACUUGCAACCGUGGUCUUUCAUCAUCAUCUAAAGAGGCAGUUUUGCCACAGCACACACCAAGAUAAAAGUCUCACUUGAUCCAAUUACACUGCUUAUUAAGAGCUAUUUAAUGAGAAAGUCACACCUUUGAGUUAUUAGAAGCUAUAAUGGUCCUGCAGAGUUCCAAACAAGUGAGCUAACAGAAUUACCUUUGAUUCUAAAUUGUUUGCCAGCAAAUUAAUCCAUCUGUCCCUGAAAAAAAUUAAGUGUUCCUCCAGUGUGUUCAACUUUCUCCACUCUCAUUUUCAUCAAGGAUGUUAGCCUCAGUUAAGAAAGUAGGUAUUUCUUAACAGUUAUUGUACAGUAAUAGAUAUACAAAGAAAUGCACAUGUUUAAUGUGUACCGUGUGAUGAGUUUGGACAUACUUAAACACCCACCCCCCCAUACCAUCAGCACAAUCAAGGUAUCAGACAUGCAAUGCCUUCCAGAGUUUUCUUGUGUCCUUUGGUUUUUGUUCUGUGGCAAGAAAACUUCACAAGAUCUACGCUA